rnacentral:sRNA from 1 species
ACGUCACAGCUGGGGUGUCGCUGUCAAAGGAUGUCACAGCUGGGGUGUCGCUGUCACAGAACUUGUUCACACUUUUCUUUUCUCAGCUUGUAUUUAGAAACAAAAUGGUUACUGACUCAACAAAAAAACAUUUCAGAUAACGACUACGCAAACCCAACUUCCCAUGAUCAAACUGACGACGCGUUUGACUCGAUUGAGAACGACAAGCAUCAGAGAACCAUGACAAAGUAAAGCUCUAGCAUCAUUGGGAGUGAACAAAGAAAGGAAGAUGCAGAUUUAAAUGAACUUCUAACGAACCUCGGCCAUUGCUAGCAAACAGAUGAUACCAAAACUUAGCCAAAACGUCACUGGAACCAAGAAAUACACACACAAAAAUAUCAGCAGAGUUAAAGGACUUCUACCUUUCAUCUACUCCACUUUUAUUUUGCUCGCUAAGUUAUAUCGUCUUCUUUGAACAGAAGAGCUUAACAGAGGAGCGACAUUGGAAAUUUGAGUUGAAGUGUUCAAUAAAACAUUUGGAUGUCAACGUUGUUGGUGUAAACAUUCAGGCUUGUGCUUCCUCUGGUGGCUCUUAGAGUUAUAAUUUUACAAUUGAAUGUCCCACUUUUGUCUCUGCUUCUCUUGAAUGUUAGACGCUCACGUUCUUACCUGAGGUUACAACAAAUGAUUUCCUAAUUUGUAGGUCAUUUAAACUGAGGUCAAUAAAGUAACAAAUAUAUUCAAGUUCUGUAA